AAAAGGGUUGGGAUGAGUCAGGGAGAGCUAGGAUGGGGGCAGUCUCUAAAGCUGCCUUCAAGGAAUGGAAAGAGGAGUGGGGAAAGGUUUUAGGAUCUAUGGGGUCAGCUAGGUUUCCUUUUGUGAGUUUAUAUAAUGGUUUUGUUAGGAUGGCAAAACCGGGUAUCUAAAGUCGAAAGUAUCCAACCAUGCCUAGGAAGGAAAGGAGUUGUUGUUUUACAGGUGUUGGGGUUUGAGAGAUCAGCUGAACAUGAUUGGCAGGGAGAGCACAUGUGUUUUUAUGAGAAUUACGCUGAGAUAGGUAACAGAUGAGGAAGAAAUUUGGGCUUGACUGAAGUAAUCGGGGCUGUCUGUGAAGCUUUGUGGCAGUACAGCCCAGGGCUUCCGAGGCGAUCGGGCGGCGUCAGUCUUCAGCCGCUAAGCCGAGAAGAUCUAGGAAGGAGUCAGACAGCCUUGGGCCAGAGUUCCAGGGGCUCCGGGAAUGGCUGCCAGGUGCAGUGGAGGUUGUUGUCAUAAGGAGCUGGAUAGCCGGGGGACAAUAUUCGUCCUGAUGUGGCUGCAUGGAUCUGACCACCACAUUCCGCUGUAGAAGACACAGAGAGAUGGGAACGUUCAACUUCAGGCAUCACACGUUUCUAUUCAGUUUCUAUUUAGCUACUUUGCAAAACCAAAGCCAUUAUGUCUGCAUUAUAUACAUAGAGAAAAAGAAUCACCAUCAUCUAUCUCUCCUGACCAUUUUAAUACUUCUUCCAAAUCAUCACCUCUGUGGAAAGUCUUUAUCCUCCAUGCAAUUAAAGUUGAGAGCAUAAAGCAAUAAGACACUCAUGUGAUAAUUCUAAUAAUAACACUGUACCUAUAGUCUCCGUAAGAGAGUACUAGAAAAACUGUCUUUCAUAGCUGAAAACACACACUCAGACACAUGCAAAUCUCAGAAUGCAUAAAACUCACACUGGAAAGUGUGAUAAAAUUCCUCCUCUUUUCCAAUAAAGGAAGUCAAUGCAACAUGGUGGAAAUACCCUGAGGCCUGGCUUUUGCACCAUAGUCUGACUGCCUUCCACACUCACCUAUGCACGAAGGUAGCGGUUUGUCCCACACCCUCCUGUCUCCACUCAAACAGGUCAGGGUGUUGCUGCCAUGCAUGGCGUACCCCGGGUUGCAACUGUACAGAACUACAGUGUCGGUAAAGUGACCUUCAUCACGGAUCCUAUAGCCGUAGUUAGGGAUGCCCGGAUCCUCACAUUUUACCAGAUCAAAACCUGCAAAAGAGAAAGGGAAGGAAUGAACAGAACUCAAGGGUGGACAUCUGCCUUAAAAUAGAGAUGAAAUAAACAAGGUUGCUAAAUGCUCCUUGAAGGGUAGGGAGAAAAAAAGGAGAUUGUUAAUUUACAAAGGGGAAAAGAAAGAUGGGUCUGUAUUGGGGCUAUUUGUUACGCAUGUGUGAUUUCUUGAAGUUCGAUCAUCUUAUUUGUUCCUCCCUACAUACAAGGUUUUUUUUUUUUUUUUUGCUUUUGCUGCCCAGGCUGGAGUGCAAUGGCGUGAUCUUGCCUCACUGCAACGUCUGCCUCCCAGGUUCAAGCGAUUCUCCUGCCUCAGCCUUCCAAGUAGCUGGGAUUACAGGUGCCUUCCACAACACCCAGCUAAUUUUUUGUAUUUUUAGUAGAGAUGAGGUUUCACUAUGUUGGCCAGGCUGGUCUCGAAUACCUGACUUCAGGCAAUCCACCCCUUCAGCCUCCCAAAGUGCUGGGAUUACAGGCGUGAGCCACUGUGCCCGGCCCCUCAAGCUCUUCUUUUCCAGAGUUCCACAACUUCAUCUGUCAGUCCAAGCCUCCAGUCUACAUGCUGGAUUCUCUGGUGAGCCCCAAUGCCUUCUAGGAACAGGAUGCUCUGCUGCCUCGUUGCCUCUCUCUGUCACAACCUAGACCUCCAAGGAAGAGGGGCCACCCAUCGGCACCGUCAGGGUGCUUUGCAGAAUCCUGACAGCCAGCACUUAUUCCAGCCCAUUGUCAAGAGCCGCCCACCUUCCCGACAACUUCCUCCAAACUCCAAGAUUUCAACUUCCUGGGAAAAGAAAAAGUUGUUCCUGCCCACAGAAAACUGGCGCUCCUGAAUUACUGCCGACCACACUCCUGAUGGUGCAUGGUUAUGAGGCUCUUGAGGAAAUCCACACACAACAGAAACUGCAGAAAUGAAUCAUUAUAAUGACCUCAUCAAAAUAAGCUCUUAAACUCAAAGAAAUAGAUGACAGAAAUGAAGAUUUGGCUUCUUCAGUACUGAAAGCUGUAUAUUGCUUUUAUGUGAGGCAAUAUUUUAGGGCCAUCUGUGAAGACAGUCUUACAGUAACAUAUUUCUCUUCAUAUCAUGAUGCAAAUUUUGACAGUUGUAAAAAGGAGAGCUGGAAACUUGAGGGACCACAUGGUCUCUUUCCUUCUAUUUCCACCAAACUUUGAAUGCUUCCUUUUCUCAAAAAGAAAUUAAAUUUUGAAAUGAAUUUGUGACUAAGUCCUCCUGUCAACGUGAAGUCUGAGAUGCCCUUCCAUUGAGGAAAAUAUAUUCUUAAAUUCACAAUAUAAUUUUACCCUGCUGAUGUCUGAAUAAUCAAGAUUGAGAUUUGCAACUUUGUAUAGAAGAAAGAGUGCAUGCUUGAUCCUUUACACUCAGUGGCUAAGAAAAUUUCCUUCCAUAAAGUUUCCUUGCACAAAGAGUCAGUCUUUACUAACUAUGACAUUAUUAUUUUUACAAUAACCCUGAUCUAUUUAAGAGACACCAAUAAUUUUAAUUCAAGAUGCCUGGAAUUCAAGAACAGAAGAGUGUAUUGAUCUUGGUGCAAAGCAAAGGGUUAUGCUAAAUGUCCACAAAGGGGAGGUAGAAAUUAGGGGGAUGGUUUCAAUCACCUCCGGUUUCAGGGUUAUUCAAAUAUUUGAUGACCUUCAUCUGAACGCAUAAUGCCAAGAAGACAGGGCAGAAAGGAAGACAUUCAAUAUCAUGUAUGACAAAAUCCACCAUUAUUACAGAUUAUUCAGUGCUCAUUUCUGUUUUCACAGAGAGGAAAAAAGAAACAGAAGUCUUUAUUGUUGUUGUGUUACUGGGUUUGGGGGUUUGGAAGUGACAGCACUGAACAACUCUUUAGAAGGUAGAAGGCCGUCCUGCCCAGCAGUGGGGAUGACCACCAGCAAACCAGAGGCAGAAUGACUUGUUGGAGGUGAUGAUUCUCCCCGGCCACACUUGGAGUCCACUUCCCUACUAAUAACAAUCUUCCAAAAUGUUGUGCUAUCUUGAAUUUACAUUAGGUAUGCUGCUUAUCAAAUGUCAUUGGAACAUAAAAUUGGAAAUAACCAUUAGGCACACAAAAUCGGGGUGUAAAAAAUAUAAAACUUUUAAAAGAGUUCAACAACAUCUAUCCCUAUGAUCAGUACCACUGGAACAGGACCCUGGGAAAAUUUAAAAAUCUUUUUGAGGGGUGAGGGCCGCCCAUGCUAACAGGGCACCCAGGUCCUGUCCAUGAAGAACAAAGCUGUGAGUGGCAAUGGGGCCAGGAAACUGUGGGGUUCUGCAUACAGCACCCAGGAGGUAUCCACCUUAACAAACCACACCCAAUGUGACCCGAACUUCUCAUUU